rnacentral:lncRNA from 1 species
GGGCUGUCCUCCCACGGGUCAGGGCUGAGGGCUUUGAGAACCUGGCCUGCCUCAGCAUGGGGCGGAAAUGCCAGGAACACCACAGGAGUCGGGCCUGGACUGAGUCUGCCCUGGAGACCAAGCGUUAUGGGGGAUUGGGGGUAGGAGCAUAAACCAAGUGUGGGGACAGGGGACUCAGGCCAAGUCACUGCGGCCCAACUCCCCCCACGCUGGGGGGUCCUGCAGAGGUGGGUGGGUGCCGCCCCCACCCCAGAGCUGAACUCUGGGGGAUGCUCCCCCCACCCCACAGAGGAGACCUCAGGGUGCCCACCGUGUCCCCACUGUCC